UUCAAGACACCAUUGACUCCAAUAAAGCUAGAUAUUAAAGAUCUUGAUAUUGUCAUUGAAGAGCUAACAAUACUCAAUCAGUUACCUUGCCAUAUAUGGCAUGAUCUUGGUCUUCAGCUAGGACUCUAUCAGCCUACAC